CACGACCCUGUUCUAAAAAGGGGUACACGACCCUGUUCUAAAAAGGGGUAAAUCCCUAAUCUCAUUCCCAACCUCUCAUCUUCAUCCAUACACCCUCAUCUCCAGCGGCGGCAACAAGUCUAGACUGAGGGAGGAGAACAUCGAUGGUGAAUCAUGGUGUUGGUGCAUCGUGGUGUUUUGAAGGAGUGGGGUAUUGGUUUAGAACCCCCAACCGGGGUGGCCAUACCCGCGAGACGGACUAGCGCUAGGACGCGGCUUGGCGGAGGGGGGCAGCGCCUCCGCGACUCCGACAGUUAGAGAGCUAAGAUCUCCUCACGUAUCCGAACUUCAUUUCUUAUGGGUUCAGUGUCUUCUCCUUUCAUGUAAUAUCGGGUUCUGGGUAUGUCUCUGGCGAAGCCUAUGGCUUUUCUUGUUGGUGGUAAUGGAGGAAAAGGAUGGGUGUGGUUCCAGUAUUACAGCAUUAGCGAAGGCUAGCAAAGUUUCUGGUUUGUAAAGGAUAUGUCUUAAUGACCAAUUCCUUUUUAUUUACCAAUUAGCUUAAUAUUUUUGGUUAUGUAGGGUGUCGGCUUUGAUUUAGUAAUGAAAAUGGUGUUUACGAAUGUAAUUCUAGAUUGUAUGUAUCAAAAGUUAUUGGCUUGAUAGUUGUUGUAAAUAUAGGAAAGAUCACUAACCUUGUAUUAUGCUGAAUUUUCUAACCACUGUUGUUCUUUUUGUGUUUCUCUCCCUAGCCAAUAUGGAUUCAUACGAUGAUUCACGGUAAUGGAAUGGAAUAAUGAAUAUAUAUGAAGACAGGUGAUUUGAUGGGUUGUAUCUAGCAUAUCACUUGCAAAGCCAUUGGAACAAUUCGUGAAUGGAUCAUAUGGGGUUCAAAAGUGCAAAUUGCAACUCGCUGUACACAUGAAAAACAAAUCUGUAAAUAUAAGUUCAUGUAUUUUUUUGGUUCUUUUGUUUGGGUUUUUAUUUGGCUUUGAGUUUGAGUGGAGUUAAAGAAAUGUGAGACGUUUUUUGUUGGAUGGGGGAUUUUGGUGUUAGAUGAUGGGUUUUGUGUGGGGAUUCCUGUUAAUGGAUGGUUGUUGAGGGACAUUGUGUGCAAAAUAGAGGAUGUAAGUGGUUAUGUUUCUAUGUGCUUUUUCUUCACUACCCACUUCCCUAUAGACUAGGUAACUCCCUCAUAACCAGAAACUACCCUCCACUACUAAAACUAGUGUAUUUGUCCUUUUUUAUUAUUUAUUUUUCUGCAAUUAAAUUAUUUAUUUUGUUGUGAUUUUCGAAUAAUUAUAUAAUUAUUUUCUAAAAAAUAUAUUUUGAUAGCAGACAUGUGUCUUUUAUGCUUUUUAUGGGCCGGACAAAAUGAGUAUUCACAAAUAUCAUAACUUUUGAUCAUGCCAAAAGGGGCUGAAAAUGUUGUUUGAGCUGUUUUGCAGGUUGUAUUGAGGUUCCAUAGUUAAUCUUGAAGUGCUACACUUGUAUCACCACUUACAUAAAUUGAAGGGGAGAAUAAAGUGAGGCGGACCAGUGCAUUCUGAUUCAACCAUAGCAAACACGUUUUGACUAGCAUCAAGUCAAUCAAACAAGAAGUGUUUUAGAGUUUGCCAUCAUAAAAAAUGGGGAGAUUGAAAUGACAAAUAGUCAAAGGAUGUCAUCAUAAUUGACCUACUUAGUUUUGAUAAAGACAAUGAGUUAAAUGGAAGUUUGAAGAUGUUGACAUCACAACAAACAACAUGUCAAAUACUCAAAGGUCAACGUCAUAGACCUGAGAUUAUUUUAUUAUUCUAGAAGUCUUAAGAUUUUUGCCUAAUGCAUGAAUCUUACUUAUUCUAGAAGUCUCAAAUAUAAUAUAAGUAAGAUUCAUGCAUUUGUAUUAGGCAUACUUGGUUUUUGUGCAUAAAAGAAUCAUCUAUUUCAAAAUCAUGUGUUGCAUGUUCUUUCAUCAUAUAAAAUGUUUACCAUGCA
rnacentral:lncRNA from 1 species